rnacentral:rRNA from 1 species
GACGAACGCUGGCGGCGUGCUUAACACAUGCAAGUCGAACGGAAAGGCCCUGCUUUUGUGGGGUGCUCGAGUGGCGAACGGGUGAGUAACACGUGAGUAACCUGCCCUUGACUUUGGGAUAACUUCAGGAAACUGGGGCUAAUACCGGAUAGGAGCUCCUGCUGCAUGGUGGGGGUUGGAAAGUUUCGGCGGUUGGGGAUGGACUCGCGGCUUAUCAGCUUGUUGGUGGGGUAGUGGCUUACCAAGGCUUUGACGGGUAGCCGGCCUGAGAGGGUGACCGGCCACAUUGGGACUGAGAUACGGCCCAGACUCCUACGGGAGGCAGCAGUGGGGAAUAUUGCACAAUGGGCGGAAGCCUGAUGCAGCAACGCCGCGUGCGGGAUGACGGCCUUCGGGUUGUAAACCGCUUUCGCCUGUGACGAAGCGUGAGUGACGGUAAUGGGUAAAGAAGCACCGGCUAACUACGUGCCAGCAGCCGCGGUGAUACGUAGGGUGCGAGCGUUGUCCGGAUUUAUUGGGCGUAAAGGGCUCGUAGGUGGUUGAUCGCGUCGGAAGUGUAAUCUUGGGGCUUAACCCUGAGCGUGCUUUCGAUACGGGUUGACUUGAGGAAGGUAGGGGAGAAUGGAAUUCCUGGUGGAGCGGUGGAAUGCGCAGAUAUCAGGAGGAACACCAGUGGCGAAGGCGGUUCUCUGGGCCUUUCCUGACGCUGAGGAGCGAAAACGUGGGGAGCGAACAGGCUUAGAUACCCUGGUAGUCCACGCUGUAAACGGUGGGUACUAGGUGUGGGGUCCAUUCCACGGGUUCCGUGCCGUAGCUAACGCUUUAAGUACCCCGCCUGGGGAGUACGGCCGCAAGGCUAAAACUCAAAGGAAUUGACGGGGCCCCGCACAAGCGGCGGAGCAUGCGGAUUAAUUCGAUGCAACGCGUAGAACCUUACCUGGGUUUGACAUGGAUCGGGAGUGCUCAGAGAUGGGUGUGCCUCUUUUGGGGUCGGUUCACAGGUGGUGCAUGGCUGUCGUCAGCUCGUGUCGUGAGAUGUUGGGUUAAGUCCCGCAACGAGCGCAACCCUUGUUCACUGUUGCCAGCACGUUAUGGUGGGGACUCAGUGGAGACCGCCGGGGUCAACUCGGAGGAAGGUGGGGAUGACGUCAAGUCAUCAUGCCCCUUAUGUCCAGGGCUUCACGCAUGCUACAAUGGCUGGUACAGAGAGUGGCGAGCCUGUGAGGGUGAGCGAAUCUCGGAAAGCCGGUCUCAGUUCGGAUUGGGGUCUGCAACUCGACCUCAUGAAGUCGGAGUCGCUAGUAAUCGCAGAUCAGCAACGCUGCGGUGAAUACGUUCCCGGG